CGAAGGGGGCUAGCGUUGCUCGGAAUUACUGGGCGUAAAGGGCGCGUAGGCGGCUCUGUUAGUCAGGCGUGAAAGCCCUGGGCUCAACCUGGGGACUGCGCUUGAUACGGCGGGGCUUGAGGGCAGGAGAGGCUCGCGGAAUUCCCAGUGUAGAGGUGAAAUUCGUAGAUAUUGGGAAGAACACCGGUGGCGAAGGCGGCGAGCUGGCCUGUUACUGACGCUGAGGCGCGACAGCGUGGGGAGCAAACAGGAUUAGAUACCCUGGUAGUCCACGCCGUAAACGAUGUGCGCUGGAUGUUGGGUGGCCUAGCCACUCAGUGUCGUAGCCAACGCGGUAAGCGCACCGCCUGGGGAGUACGGCCGCAAGGUUG
rnacentral:rRNA from 1 species